GGACCUGUGGCGCAACGGUAGCGCGUUCGACUCCAGAUCGAGAGGUUAUCGGUUCAAAUCCGGUCGGGUUCA
rnacentral:tRNA from 1 species